UUGACGGGGCCCGCACAAGCGGAGGAACAUGUGGUUUAAUUCGAUGCAACGCGAAAACCUUACCCACCUUUGACAUGGCAGGAAUCCUAAAGAGAUUUGGGAGUGCUCGAAAGAGAACCUGCACACAGGUGCUGCAUGGCUGUCGUCAGCUCGUGUCGUGAGAUGUUGGGUUAAGUCCCGCAACGAGCGCAACCCUUGCCAUUAGUUGCUACGAAAGGGCACUCUAAUGGGACUGCCGGUGACAAACCGGAGGAAGGUGGGGAUGACGUCAAGUCCUCAUGGCCCUUAUAGGUGGGGCUACACACGUCAUACAAUGGCCGGUACAGAGGGUAGCCAACCCGCGAGGGGGAGCCAAUCCCACAAAGCCGGUCGUAGUCCGGAUCGCAGUCUGCAACUCGACUGCGUGAAGUCGGAGUCGCUAGUAAUCGCAGAUCAGCAACGCUGCGGUGAAUACGUUCCCGGGCCUU
rnacentral:rRNA from 1 species